GAUGAAUGCUGGCGGCGUGCCUAACACAUGCAAGUCGAACGAUGAAGCUGGAGCUUGCUCUAGCGGAUUAGUGGCGAACGGGUGAGUAACACGUGAGCAAUCUGCCCUUGACUCUGGGAUAACUGCGGGAAACUGUAGCUAAUACCGGAUACUUUCACCGGGGGGCAUCCUCUGGUGAUGAAAGAAUUUCGGUCAAGGAUGAGCUCGCGGCCUAUCAGCUUGUUGGUGAGGUAACGGCUCACCAAGGCGACGACGGGUAACCGGCCUGAGAGGGUGACCGGUCACACUGGGACUGAGACACGGCCCAGACUCCUACGGGAGGCAGCAGUGGGGAAUAUUGCACAAUGGGCGCAAGCCUGAUGCAGCAACGCCGCGUGAGGGAUGAAGGCCUUCGGGUUGUAAACCUCUUUUAGCAGGGAAGAAGCGAAAGUGACGGUACCUGCAGAAAAAGCACCGGCUAACUACGUGCCAGCCGCCGCAGUAA
rnacentral:rRNA from 1 species